rnacentral:rRNA from 1 species
UACGUAGGGUGCAAGCGUUGUCCGGAAUUAUUGGGCGUAAAGAGCUUGUAGGCGGUUUGUCGCGUCUGCUGUGAAAUUUCGGGGCUCAACCCCGAACUUGCAGUGGGUACGGGCAGACUAGAGUGUGGUAGGGGAGACUGGAAUUCCUGGUGUAGCGGUGAAAUGCGCAGAUAUCAGGAGGAACACCAGUGGCGAAGGCGGUGCUCUGGGCCGGAACUGACGCUGAGGAGCGAAAGCGUGGGGAGCAAACAGG